rnacentral:rRNA from 1 species
GACGAACGCUGGCGGCGUGCUUAACACAUGCAAGUCGAACGGAAAGGCCCUGCUUUUGUGGGGUGCUCGAGUGGCGAACGGGUGAGUAACACGUGAGUAACCUGCCCUUGACUUUGGGAUAACUUCAGGAAACUGGGGCUAAUACCGGAUAGGAGCUCCUGCUGCAUGGUGGUGGUUGGAAAGUUUCGGUGGUUUGGGAUGGACUCGGGGCUUAUCAGCUUGUUGGUGGGGUAGUGGCUUACCAAGGCUUUGACGGGUAGCCGGCCUGAGAGGGUGACCGGCCACAUUGGGACUGGGGUACGGCCCAGACGCCAACGGGAGGCAGCAGUGGGGAAUAGUGCGCAAUGGGCGGAAGCCGGAUACAGCAUCGCCGCGUGCUGGAUGACGGCCGUCGGGUUAUAAACCGCGUUCGCCUGUGACGAAGCGUGAGUGACGGUAAUGUGUAAAGAAGCACCGGCUAACUACGUG